rnacentral:rRNA from 1 species
ACGCUAGCUACAGGCUUAACACAUGCAAGUCGAGGGGAAACGACAUCGAAAGCUUGCUUUUGAUGGGCGUCGACCGGCGCACGGGUGAGUAACGCGUAUCCAACCUGCCCAUCACUUGGGAAUAACCUUGCGAAAGUAAGACUAAUACCCAAUGAUAUCCCACGAAGGCAUCCGAAUGAGAUUAAAGAUUUAUCGGUGAUGGAUGGGGAUGCGUCUGAUUAGCUUGUUGGCGGGGUAACGGCCCACCAAGGCGACGAUCAGUAGGGGUUCUGAGAGGAAGGUCCCCCACAUUGGAACUGAGACACGGUCCAAACUCCUACGGGAGGCAGCAGUGAGGAAUAUUGGUCAAUGGGCGAGAGCCUGAACCAGCCAAGUAGCGUGCAGGAUAACGGCCCUAUGGGUUGUAAACUGCUUUUAUAAGGGAAUAAAGUGAGUCUCGUGAGACUUUUUGCAUGUACCUUAUGAAUAAGGACCGGCUAAUUCCGUGCCAGCAGCUGCGGUAAUACGGAAGGUCCGGGCGUUAUCCGGAUUUAUUGGGUUUAAAGGGAGCGUAGGCCGGAGAUUAAGCGUGUUGUGGAAUGUAGACGCUCAACGUCUGCACUGCAGCGCGAACUGGUUUCCUUGAGUACGCACAAAGUGGGCGGAAUUCGUGGUGUAGCGGUGAAAUGCUUAGAUAUCACGAAGAACUCCGAUUGCGAAGGCAGCUCACUGGAGCGCAACUGACGCUGAAGCUCGAAAGUGCGGGUAUCGAACAGGAUUAGAUACCCUGGUAGUCCGCACGGUAAACGAUGGAUGCCCGCUGUUGGUCUGAAUAGGUCAGCGGCCAAGCGAAAGCAUUAAGCAUCCCACCUGGGGAGUACGCCGGCAACGGUGAAAC